rnacentral:rRNA from 1 species
UACGAAGGGAGCUAGCGUUGUUCGGAAUCACUGGGCGUAAAGCGCACGUAGGCGGACUUGUAAGUCAGGGGUGAAAUCCCGGGGCUCAACCUCGGAACUGCCCUUGAUACUGCAAGCCUGGAGUCCGGAAGAGGUGGGUGGAAUUCCUAGUGUAGAGGUGAAAUUCAUAGAUAUUAGGAAGAACACCGGUGGCGAAGGCGGCCCACUGGUCCGGUACUGACGCUGAGGUGCGAAAGCGUGGGGAGCAAACAGG